UGGGAGCGCGCCCGCGCGGUUCCACACGUUUCCCCGCGCUUCCCCGCGCUUCCACAGGUGAAGCCAUCUGCGCGAGACACGCACGGCCACAUUCUUUUUUUUUCUUUUCUUCUUUUCUUUUUCUUUUCCUUUCUCUUAUUCCUUCUUCCCGAAUCUUCUUCCUUCUCCUUCCUUCUCCUUUCUUCCCUCCCUUCUUUUGCGAGCAACGAAAGGCAUUUCCCCGCGCGAGGCCCAGUACCGAUACAUCUUAUUCUUCUCUUCUUCUUCUUCUCUCUCUUCUUCUUCCUCUUCUUUCUUCCUCUUUCUUCACUCUUCUUUCUUCUUCUUUUUUCCCGAGCCUGCUGCCCCGCACGUAUCGGUGUGAACCGGUUCGGCCCCCACCGAUACAAGAUAGUACAGUGCAAAUCAGUCCGACUCGCAUCGGUACAAGGUAGUAUCGAUGCAAACCGGACUAGCUUACACCGGUACACAGCGGAAACUAAUCGGUUCCAGCCCCCUAUGGGGCUGGAACCGUUUUCCACGGCUGAACCAUACCGAUUGGCUCCGAUACCGGUACCGAUACGGUACGUGCAGAACCGGCCGGUACGAACUGGUUCAGCA
rnacentral:lncRNA from 1 species